rnacentral:lncRNA from 1 species
AGUCUCGCUGCGUUUCUCCCUUGCCCAAAGCGAGAGCCUGCGGGCGUUGGCGGCGCCGCGGUCUGCCAGGAGAGCGGGGAGCGGAGCCGUGCCGGGAUUAAGUCACUCUCGCAAGGUCACGCGGUGAAUCGCUGCUGCUGCUGCCAGGAAUAGCGCCCCGAGUCUCUUGGCUCUCUCAAGCCCACCCGCAGCACUCCAGCCUCCUUUCCUCGGGUUAUGAAGCUUUCUGCAGCAAGAUUUGAAGCAGCCAAAUUCCAGCUUAGAUCAAAGUCCCUAGGAUUCACUUGUGAUUUCCGGAUGGAGUAUGGCAAGAGCGUUGGUGGGAGCAGACAAUGCUUGUGCUGAUAGCAGAGGUUGAAGUGUUUCCUGUCAUGGAAAAGAUGAACAAGCCAGUUCCGCAUCAGCUUUCUUUUCUGAGACUUCCAGCUGUAACUGAAGCCUCAGUUCCCGUGAUGAUGCUCCUGGGGCACAGCCCGAUGGCAUCUGCAGAGUGGGGCAUGGAGAACAAGGGACCCCGAGCCACAGGGAGGGACUGCAGCCCCUGCGCCCCUCUCCCCAUGGAGAGACAGCAGAACAUCAUGGUGCCCUCAGAGCCAGCACAGCGCAGACAUCUCCAACAGGGGAUCAGCAAACGCAUAGGACAGGUACACUCCCUUCUGAGUGACAGCACUUCCCAAAGCCUCGCUCUGCAGCCCUGGAGCCUGCUUCAGCAGCCCUGGGAGCCUGGCCAUGGUGAGGGCUAUCCCUGCCUCGGUGCACAUGCCUCUGUGCACAUGUGUCUGCCUGAGCGCUGCCAUGUUUGGAGCUGUGUGGUGGCUGCUGUCAGAACCCAGGAAUGCAGCCUCAGGAACAGAACCCUGCACAGGCAAACGUGGCAGAACCUGGGCAGUGUCUGCAGCAGCAGUUAG